rnacentral:lncRNA from 1 species
GAAAGAACACACACUGGAGACAAACCUUAUGAAUGUGAUGUUUGCAAGAAGAGAUUUUCAGUGUCAAGCACCUUACUUACACAUGAAAGAUCACACACUGGAAACAAACCUUUUGAAUGUGAUGUUUGCAAGAAAAGAUUUUCACAGUCGAGCACCUUACUUAGUUAACCAAGCAUAAAAGAACACACACUGGCGAAAAACCUUAUGAAUGUGAUGUUUGUAACAAGAGAUUUUCACAGUCAAGCACCUUACUUACACAUGAAAGAAUACACACUGGAGACAAACCUUAUGAAUGUGAUGUUUGCAAGAAGAGAUUUUCAUGCUCGGCCAACUUAACCAAGCAUAAAAGAACACAUACUGGAGACCAACCUUAUGAAUGUGAUGUUUGUAACAAGAGAUUUUCACAGUCAAGCACCUUACUUACACAUGAAAGAAUACACACUGGAGACAAACCUUAUGAAUGUGAUGUUUGCAAGAAGAGAUUUUCAUGCUCGGCCAACUUAACCAAGCAUAAAAGAACACAUACUGGAGACCAACCUUAUGAAUGCGGUAUUUGUAGGAAGAGAUUUUCACAAUCAAGUCACUUAGCUACUCAUAAAAAAACACAUACCAGAGACAAACCAGGUUAAGCAUGUCACGUUUGCAACAAAAGGUUUUCAGAAUCACACAGUUUAACGAGACAUAAAAUAUCAGCACACAAGGGAAAUCAGAGUUUUGAGUGUAAUAACUGCAAGAAAACAUUUGGAUAAAGGCAAAGUCUCAAACGUCCCUGGAGAUCACACUUGAGAGAUGGCUUAUUAUUGUGUCACACCUGUGGCAAAGAAAUUAUUCAAGGUCAAGGACAUGCUAAUGAGAUACUGAGUGAUGAUCAUGUUGCCUGUGACAAAUGCAACAAACAGUUCCCUGAUAUUGAAAGUUUAUAUCAGCACAAGGCCGAAGACCAUGGUACAUCCUACCAAUGUGAUGUCUGUAUGAACAAAAAUAUGGACUAUAUCGAAUUGUGAAAUUAGAAAACGUGGUUCAGUCAGCCUGCACUGUUUUUGAAGUAAAUCCAAACAGGGCUUUGAAUUGUUGAUUUGACAUAUUCAUUGUCUAGACUUUCCUGCAGUGAGUCUAGACAGUAAAUUAAAAGGAUUUUUCUGUGUUGUGUAAUGUACUCAGGUGAAUAUGAUGCUUGUGAUGUUACUCUGAGUGUAUAUCCACACCGGG